CUGAUAAUAGCACUGGGGCUAGGUAUUUAUACCGAAUUAUUUAAAGUUGUUACACAAGAUAUUUCGGCAAUUCUGGUGACUGGUUGCUCAUAAGUUGAAACGGAUCGUCACCAUAUUCCCUAUUACGAAUAUUUUCAGUACUCUUUAUUGCAUGUCUAUAUAUUACGUUCUAUUAUAUCAUUUCUACUUUUUCUAUUAUAUUACAAUACUCCUCUUCUAUUUUCAUUCUCUACAAUAAUAUCUCAUUUCAUAUUACGGUACCGGUCUAUAGCGAAUAAAUCGAAAAAUAAAUGUAACAACUGAGUGAAGUAAAAAAUCGAAGUGAUUAUUUGGC
rnacentral:lncRNA from 1 species